GCGUCAGCAGCACCAACAUCAUCAUAAUCGAUAUAAUCGAUGGAGAGUUUUCCACCUGUUGUUACUGAUUAAGGCGGCACAGAAAGGUUAGAAUUAUUUUAAGACAGAAAGGAGAAAAAAAUCCAUUAUUUUGUGAGUCUAGGGAGCAAAGAAGACGUUGUGGAUUACAGACAUGCUGCAUGUUGCAAUGCAUCGGUACAUUUCAUGGGUUCCAUGUGCAACGCGUGAGGAUACUCAUGGCGAGUCCAUUAUGCACGGAGGACAUCAAGAGAUGUACUACUGCAGUCCUAUCAUCAAGAUCGUCGCUUGGGCCCAAAGCCUCUUUCAGAGGGUUGGUUUCUGUCUUUGGUUAUCUAGCUGUAUGAGUUAUAACACUUUUCAUAAAGCUAGAUAACCGAAAGUAGAAAUAAUCCUCAAAAUACUGUAAACUGGUGUGACGUCAGAGAGUGCCUCAGAGCGAUACUUCCAUCCACAAAAUGGCACAAUAAAGCAACGGCACAACCAUCCAAGAGAGAGGAAGAGAGCGAAAGAGAUGCUUAGAGGAACGUGGUAUCUUUCCUUCUCCGCCUUUCCAGAAACCCCUAGUGCCAUCUGGUUCCCCGUGGGGCUGGGGAGAACCCAUGCCAGGGCCAGCGGCGUGGCAAACCUUGUCCUGGCACCAACACAGACUGCUGAGGGAGGCCAUCUUGACAGAGAUUUCAGUAGAAGCUAAGAUGGCUGGGCUGACACAUGUAAGAAUGGACAGUGGACUGAGCUGGGAUGUCCUCGUGGGAUGAAAUGAAUGAAAAUCUGGAAUUAGGUCUGGAGGAACAAAGGAAAAAACCCAUGCACCUGAAAGUUUGAGAGGCAUAAAAACCAUGUUGGUGAUUGUGUGUGUGUGUGGGUGUGUGUGUGUGUGUGUGUGUGAGAGAGAGAGAGAGAGAGAGAGAGAGAAGAACAGUAUUUUUUCUUGCAAACAAAAAAAUGAAUUGUAUUGUUUUUCUGUUUAGAUAAACCAUGUUGUUUUAAUGUUCAAAAUGCUGUACACUUACAUACGUCCAUAGAAUGUAAUGUCAUGUGUGUUAACUGAUUUCACUAGUGUUUUGUUACCAUUUCAUUUGUGCAUUAUUUUAUAUCAAAAUGUAAUGUUUAUUUUAGUUAUUAUUUCCUCCUCCUUGUGAUCGUUUUUAUAUUGUAAAUGCUGUGUUUGUAAAUAAAAAUAUAUAUACAUACUA